rnacentral:rRNA from 1 species
GAGUUUGAUCCUGGCUCAGGACGAACGCUGGCGGCGUGCCUAACACAUGCAAGUCAGGGGGAAAGGGAGCUUCGGCUUCCGAGUACACCGGCGAACGGGUGAGUAACGCGUAGCCAACCUACCCAUGUCUCCGGAAUAACCACUCUAACGGGUGGCUAAAAACGGAUGCGCACCGAUGGGGCAUCCCGUAGGUGUGAAAGGCGCCCCUUAGGGGGCGCUGGACACGGAGGGGGCUGCGUCCCAUUAGGUCGUUGGUGAGGUAACGGCUCACCAAGCCGAUGAUGGGUAGCUGGCCUGAGAGGGUGGUCAGCCACACUGAGACUGAGACACGGCCCAGACUCCUACGGGAGGCAGCAGUGGGGAAUCUUCGGCAAUGGGCGAAAGCCUGACCGAGCGACGCCGCGUGCGGGAAGAAGCCCUUUGGGGUGUAAACCGCUGUAGCCGGGGAAGAAAGGCGUCCGUGCGGGGCGCAUCGGACAGUACCCGGAAAGUAAGCGCCGGCUAACUACGUGCCAGCAGCCGCGGUAAAACGUAGGGCGCAAGCGUUGUCCGGAAUCACUGGGUGUAAAGGGUGUGUAGGCGGGUCGGUCAGUCAAGGGUGAAAGGCGUCGGCUCAACCGACGAAACGCCCUUGAUACUGCCGAUCUUGAGUGCGGGAGAGGCUGGUGGAAUUCCUGGUGUAGCGGUGAAAUGCGUAGAUAUCAGGAGGAACACCGAAGGCGAAGGCAGCCAGCUGGCCCGCAACUGACGCUGAGGCACGAAAGCGUGGGGAGCAAACAGGAUUAGAUACCCUGGUAGUCCACGCCCUAAACGAUGCACGUUAGGCGUUGGGCUUGCUGCGGCAGGCUCAGUGCCGAAGCUAACGCGAUAAACGUGCCACCUGGGGAGUACGCUCGCAAGGGUGAAACUCAAAGGAAUUGACGGGAGCCCGCACAAGCGGUGGAUCAUGUGGUUUAAUUUGAUGCUACGCGAAGAACCUUACCUGGGCUCGAACUUCCGGUGGUAACCUGCUCGAAAGAGGGGUGACCACACCAUUGGGUGUGGAGCCGGAAGAGGUGCUGCAUGGCUGUCGUCAGCUCGUGCCGUGAGGUGUUGGGUUAAGUCCCGCAA